rnacentral:piRNA from 1 species
UCUUAUCAAGAGACAUAUGAAAUCCAUCAC